AAAGGACAUCUACAUAGAACACAUCACCGGACAUCAGCAAUACCAGGAGGAAUGAGCUGGAGUGCUGAUAAGAAGUACAGUCAGGAAAGUAACUGAAAUACUUUCCUCAUGGAUUGUAUUUUUUGCCUUUUCUCUAAAU